rnacentral:lncRNA from 1 species
CACGACGUGCGCGUGCCCGGCCGCCACGAGGGCCAGCAGGCCGUUGACCUGGGCCUGCGUGAGGCGCUGGCGCGUGUGCGGCACGCUCUUGUCGGCGGGCUCCUCGGCAUAGAGGUAGGCGACGAGGUCCGCCGUCCGGUAGGGUGCGCCGUUGAGGUUGGUGUAGGCGCCCGUGCUGCCCGCCGCCAGCCGGUGCUCGUCGAUCACGAGCAGCGCCUCGCCGUCGUCGACGACGCCGCGUGCCACUUGGAGCACGCGCGCUCGGCGGUCCGUCGCCUCGCGCACGACCGUCGGCCGGCCGUCGCCUCGCGCCUCUCGGGCGCGAUCGUUUUCCAGUGCGCCCUCGGUCUCGCCCUCACGACCGGCACCAUAUUCCUCUGCCUGUUCGUCGUCGUCGUCGUCCCCAUCAUCUCCAUAAGGGCCAACGCGAUCGAGGUCAUCGAGAUCAUCCAUGUCAUUCACGUCACCAAGACCGUCAAGAUCAUCCAUGUCAUCCGUGUCAUCGACAAACGGAUCGUCGCCGAAUCGUCUGCCUUCUCCAGUGCGUCGGUAAGGCUCGCGCGCGAGGUCGUCGUCGUCCAUGCCGCCACUGCUCCGGCGGCGGCGGCGGCCGGGGGCAACGCGCAGGCUGCGGUCGAGGGCGCCGCCGUCGUCACGGUAGUCGUCGGUGCGAUCGCGUACCUCGGCCCAGUCCCGCGGGCGGCGGCCGCCGUCGAGCAUGAGCGAGUCAAACUGGUCGAUGAGCCGCUGGGCUUCUUGCUCGGCGCCCGGAUACUCGCUGGCCGACAUGGCUGCCCCGGUGCGCAAGAAGAAGUCAGCAGGCCGAUUGUUUGAAAAAAAUGAAAGAAAAAAAAAGGGAAACAAAAGGGGGAGCCGCCGCCUUGCAACGAAAGAGGCAAGCCGAAAUCUAAAGCGAGAAAAAGGCAAAAAUAAAAGAAAGACUACAACGGAAAAAAUACCUGGUGCUUUUUUUUUCUUGCCUCUU